CAUGCAAGUCGAGCGAACCGACGAAGUGCUUGCACUUCUGACGUUAGCGGCGGACGGGUGAGUAACACGUAAGGAACCUACCGAUAAGCGGGGGACAACAUCCGGAAACGGGUGCUAAUACCGCAUAGGAAACACCACCACAUGGUGGUGUUUGGAAAGACGGCUUUGCUGUCACUUAUCGAUGGCCUUGCGGUGCAUUAGCUCGUUGGUGGGGUAACGGCCUACCAAGGCAAUGAUGCAUAGCCGACCUGAGAGGGUAAUCGGCCACAUUGGGACUGAGACACGGCCCAAACUCCUACGGGAGGCAGCAGUAGGGAAUCUUCCGCAAUGGGCGCAAGCCUGACGGAGCAACGCCGCGUGAGUGAAGAAGGUUUUCGGAUCGUAAAGCUCUGUUGUAAGAGAAGAACAAAUUGGAGAGUAACUGCUCCAGUCUUGACGGUAUCUUACCAGAAAGCCACGGCUAACUACGUGCCAGCAGCCGCGGUAAUACGUAGGUGGCAAGCGUUGUCCGGAUUUAUUGGGCGUAAAGGGGGCGCAGGCGGUUUCUUAAGUCUGAUGUGAAAGCCCACGGCUUAACCGUGGAAGUGCAUUGGAAACUGGGGAACUUGAGUACAGAAGAGGAAAGUGGAACUCCAUGUGUAGCGGUGGAAUGCGUAGAUAUAUGGAAGAACACCAGUGGCGAAGGCGACUUUCUGGUCUGUCACUGACGCUGAGGCCCGAAAGCGUGGGUAGCAAACAGGAUUAGAUACCCUGGUAGUCCACGCCGUAAACGAUGAGUGCUAGGUGUUGGAGGGUUUCCACCCUUCAGUGCCGGAGUUAACGCAUUAAGCACUCCGCCUGGGGGAGUACGGCCGCAAGGCUGAAACUCAAAUGAAUUGACGG
rnacentral:rRNA from 1 species